rnacentral:rRNA from 1 species
GCUCAGGACGAACGCUGGCGGCGUGCUUAACACAUGCAAGUCGAACGCUGAAGCUUGGUGCUUGCACUGGGUGGAUGAGUGGCGAACGGGUGAGUAAUACGUGAGUAACCUGCCCUUGACUCUGGGAUAAGCCUGGGAAACUGGGUCUAAUACUGGAUAUGACAUGUCACUGCAUGGUGGCGUGUGGAAAGGGUUUUACUGGUUUUGGAUGGGCUCACGGCCUAUCAGCUUGUUGGUGGGGUAAUGGCCCACCAAGGCGACGACGGGUAGCCGGCCUGAGAGGGUGACCGGCCACACUGGGACUGAGACACGGCCCAGACUCCUACGGGAGGCAGCAGUGGGGAAUAUUGCACAAUGGGCGAAAGCCUGAUGCAGCGACGCCGCGUGAGGGAUGACGGCCUUCGGGUUGUAAACCUCUUUCAGCACGGAAGAAGCGAGAGUGACGGUACGUGCAGAAGAAGCGCCGGCUAACUACGUGCCAGCAGCCGCGGUAAUACGUAGGGCGCAAGCGUUGUCCGGAAUUAUUGGGCGUAAAGAGCUCGUAGGCGGUUUGUCGCGUCUGCUGUGAAAGCCCGGGGCUUAACCCCGGGUGUGCAGUGGGUACGGGCAGACUUGAGUGCAGUAGGGGAGACUGGAAUUCCUGGUGUAGCGGUGAAAUGCGCAGAUAUCAGGAAGAACACCGAUGGCGAAGGCAGGUCUCUGGGCUGUUACUGACGCUGAGGAGCGAAAGCAUGGGGAGCGAACAGGAUUA